GACGAACGCUGGCGGCGUGCCUAAUACAUGCAAGUAGAACGCUGAAGGAGGAGCUUGCUUCUCUGGAUGAGUUGCGAACGGGUGAGUAACGCGUAGGUAACCUGCCUGUAGCGGGGGAUAACUAUUGGAAACGAUAGCUAAUACCGCAUAAGAGUAGAUGUCGCAUGACAUUUGCUUAAAAGGUGCAAUUGCAUCACUACCAGAUGGACCUGCGUUGUAUUAGCUAGUUGGUGAGGUAACGGCUCACCAAGGCAACGAUACAUAGCCGACCUGAGAGGGUGAUCGGCCACACUGGGACUGAGACACGGCCCAGACUCCUACGGGAGGCAGCAGUAGGGAAUCUUCGGCAAUGGACGGAAGUCUGACCGAGCAACGCCGCGUGAGUGAAGAAGGUUUUCGGAUCGUAAAGCUCUGUUGUAAGAGAAGAACGAGUGUGAGAGUGGAAAGUUCACACUGUGACGGU
rnacentral:rRNA from 1 species